rnacentral:rRNA from 1 species
GACGAACGCUGGCGGCGUGCUUACACAUGCAAGUCGAACGGAAAGGCCCUGCUUUUGUGGGGUGCUCGAGUGGCGAACGGGUGAGUAACACGUGAGUAACCUGCCCUUGACUUUGGGAUAACUUCGGGAAACUGGGGCUAAUACCGGAUAGGAGCUCCUGCUGCAUGGUGGGGGUUGGAAAGUUUCGGCGGUUGGGGAUGGACUCGCGGCUUAUCAGCUUGUUGGUGGGGUAGUGGCUUACCAAGGCUUUGACGGGUAGCCGGCCUGAGAGGGUGACCGGCCACAUUGGGACUGAGAUACGGCCCAGACUCCUACGGGAGGCAGCAGUGGGGAAUAUUGCACAAUGGGCGGAAGCCUGAUGCAGCAACGCCGCGUGCGGGAUGACGGCCUUCGGGUUGUAAACCGCUUUCGCCUGUGACGAAGCGUGAGUGACGGUAAUGGGUAAAGAAGCACCGGCUAACUACGUGCCAGCAGCCGCGGUGAUACGUAGGGUGCGAGCGUUGUCCGGAUUUAUUGGGCGUAAAGGGCUCGUAGGUGGUUGAUCGCGUCGGAAGUGUAAUCUUGGGGCUUAACCCUGAGCGUGCUUUCGAUACGGGUUGACUUGAGGAAGGUAGGGGAGAAUGGAAUUCCUGGUGGAGCGGUGGAAUGCGCAGAUAUCAGGAGGAACACCAGUGGCGAAGGCGGUUCUCUGGGCCUUUCCUGACGCUGAGGAGCGAAAGCGUGGGGAGCGAACAGGCUUAGAUACCCUGGUAGUCCACGCUGUAAACGGUGGGUACUAGGUGUGGGGUCCAUUCCACGGGUUCCGUGCCGUAGCUAACGCUUUAAGUACCCCGCCUGGGGAGUACGGCCGCAAGGCUAAAACUCAAAGGAAUUGACGGGGCCCCGCACAAGCGGCGGAGCAUGCGGAUUAAUUCGAUGCAACGCGUAGAACCUUACCUGGGUUUGACAUGGAUCGGGAGUGCUCAGAGAUGGGUGUGCCUCUUUUGGGGUCGGUUCACAGGUGGUGCAUGGCUGUCGUCAGCUCGUGUCGUGAGAUGUUGGGUUAAGUCCCGCAACGAGCGCAACCCUUGUUCACUGUUGCCAGCACGUUAUGGUGGGGACUCAGUGGAGACCGCCGGGGUCAACUCGGAGGAAGGUGGGGAUGACGUCAAGUCAUCAUGCCCCUUAUGUCCAGGGCUUCACGCAUGCUACAAUGGCUGGUACAGAGAGUGGCGAGCCUGUGAGGGUGAGCGAAUCUCGGAAAGCCGGUCUCAGUUCGGAUUGGGGUCUGCAACUCGACCUCAUGAAGUCGGAGUCGCUAGUAAUCGCAGAUCAGCAACGCUGCGGUGAAUACGUUCCCGGGGAU